GACGAACGCUGGCGGCGUGCUUAACACAUGAAAGUCGAACGGAGUGGCGAACGGGUGAGUAAACCAUGGGUGACCUGCACUGCACUUCGGGAUAAGCAUGGGAAACUGGGUCUAAUACCGGAUCGUGGGGGAGGGGCCCGCGGCCUAUCAGCUUGUUGGUGGGGUAAUGGCCUACCAAGGCGGCGACGGGUAGCCGGCCGGAGAGGGUGGACGGCCACAUUGGGACUGAGACACGGCCCAGACUCCUACGGGAGGCAGCAGUGGGGAAUAUUGCACAAUGGGCGGAAGCCUGAUGCAGCGACGCCGCGUGGGGUAUGCCGGCCUUCGGGUUGUAAACUCCUUUCACCAUCGACGCGGUAGAUGGAGAAGAAGCACCGGCUAACUACGUGCCAGCAGCCGCGGUAAUAC
rnacentral:rRNA from 1 species